GUUUUAAAUUCAUUUCAAAUAAAUUUUUAAAUCAUUUUAAAAGUUUUUCAAUUCCUUGUUUUAUUGUUGUGAUUUUUUUAAUGAUUAUUUUACUUCCUUUUAUGUAAAGCACUUUAUAUUACCAUUGUGUAUGAAAUGUGCUAUAUAAAUAAAUCGCUUUGCCUUGGCUUGAUCAUUAUUAUUCAAAAUAUUGUUGUUAUUGUUGUGUUCUUUUUUAAGUUUUCAUACUUUGACAUUUGAAGCUCUUUGAACUGCAUUUAUGAAAGAUGCUACUAUACAUAAAUUGACCUGUGCCCCAAUGAUGAAUGCCAUUCAUUCAUUAAACUUGACCACCAUUUUCAUGUUGUUAUCAAAUUCACCUUAAUUCAAAUAUCCAUCAGCUAAACACUAAUAAACACACACACGUAACCCAUGACCCGUUGUCAUGGUAUAGCAGCGUCAUUGUCAGUAAAGCAUGAGCUGCUUUAAUUUAUGUUUGUAAGCGACACAAAGCUUCUCUCCCAUGAGCACGUCGACCAAUUCAUAGCGUGCGUUGUCCUUAGAAUGCUCCUUUGUUCCCUCCUACUAGACUCUAAAUUUACCCACCAGAGACAAUAAGUAGUGUGAUAAUUAACUGCAUGUCACUGCUGUCAAGGCCCUGAAACGUGAGACACCCUCUGCCCAUUGUUGUGUCCAGUUUAAAGCAGCGGCGGAGUGACAUCACUUGGUGAUGUCAGGUUCAGAGGGCGGAACUGGACCUCCGGGUCUCCUGUGAUUGGUCACAUCAUGUGGCACCUUGGAAGACAAAAGGUAUAAGAGAUGAAUGCUCGGUCAAGGCGGGCAAAAUUUUAAGCAUAAUUCUGCAGCAUCCCUGGGACGCCCUGAACUGAGUUGGUUACCAUGGCAACAGUCGUACCAUGUGCGUCCUGCUAUGGCAGCAGCAGUGUUCAGCUCUUUGGGAGGGGGCCUGGUGGCGAUUACAUGUCCCUUUUCAGUUACAGAGGUCCCAGAGGGGCCCCUCGCCCACGUCUGGCCUGCCACGCUCCAAAGAUGACACUGCGUCAGAUUUGUCGCAUGUUGCGUAUAAUGCGCCAGCUGCGCAAUAAAGAAGCAGCAGCAGCUGCUGCAGCCGCCAGAAAACAAGCCUCUCCUCCCAGUUCACCUAUGAUCAAAUCAGAUAAGCGCUGCUUACCUGCCUGCUUUCGGCGUAGACGUAGUAACAACAUAAAAAGAGUGAGUUAAGCAUCCUCCAAAACCUCCCAACAACUUCAGCCCUUUGGGAGUUUACAAACUGGGCAAUGGAGCCAGACCUCACUCACACAGAAGACGUAAAGUGAGGGACCAAGACAUCGUUCUACAAUCUUGUUGGAUUCUUUUGUUGGGAGGAUUUAACAUGCAACAAAUCUGGUUUUAAUUGGAAAGAAGCAGCUCUUUAGAUGCCCCGAGUGCUGGAACUCUACAUAUCUUACAUUUCAUAAUGACACAGGAGUUUUUUUUACACGAGUCUUUUCUUCUUGGACGUUUGGACUUGAAUUGUGAAAUCAAUGAAAUUCCAGUAGGGUCAAACAGUUUUGUGUGCUUCUACCUGUAAUUAAACCAGUGGAAAGUCCUCAUCAGGUGGGAAAUACGAUGCAGCUAUUUGUUUGUUUAUUUAUUUAUCUGUUUGUUUUUUUCUGUGUGGGACGGGGGGCCCACGGUUCCCUCUCUCUCAAAGAGGUGUGAUGGAAACUUAGCUACCGGUGUGCAUUACUGUGUUGAAACUGAAACUGUGUGACAACAUUGUGAAUUUACUGAUUUCCUAUUUAUAUGCCUUUGAAUAACCUUUCAAUAAUAAAACACCUA
ensembl:lncRNA